rnacentral:rRNA from 1 species
UACAGAGGUCCCAAGCGUUGUUCGGAUUCACUGGGCGUAAAGGGUGCGUAGGCGGCCGGGAAAGUUUGAUGUGAAAGCUCAGGGCUUAACCCUGAAAUGGCAUUGAAUACUACUUGGCUGGAGGUUUGGAGGGGGGACUGGAAUUCUCGGUGUAGCAGUGAAAUGCGUAGAUAUCGAGAGGAACACCAGUGGCGAAGGCGAGUCCCUGGACAACACCUGACACUGAGGCACGAAAGCCGGGGGAGCAAACAGG